rnacentral:rRNA from 1 species
AGAAUCAACGCUGGCGGCGUGCCUCAGACAUGCAAGUCGAACGAUUAAAGCUCUCUUCGGAGAGUGUAUAGAGUGGCGCACGGGUGAGUAACACGUAAGUAAUCUACCCUCGAGUGGGGAAUAACGUCCGGAAACGGACGCUAAUACCGCAUAAUGCAGCGGCACCGCAAGGUCGACAGUUAGUUAAAGAUUUAUCGCUUGAGGAGG